CAUAGAACUAAUAAGAUGGUAAUAUUAGUGGUGAUUCAUCUAGUUAACAUUAUUAAAAUGUAUGAGAGUGGGAAUUCAUUUGGCAUAUUAUUAAAAUGGAUUGUUUCCCUCACAUACUAAAUGUAUCUCCUCUUUAUUACUAAAAAAACUUCCUGAAACAAAAAAAAACACUUCAUCAUUCCAUAUCGUGUUCCUUCUCAAUAUUCUCACUGAAUCUCAAAGAACUUAAAAUCCCUCUCAUUACAUUGAAUCAUCGUCAACAACAACUUUAUCUCAUAUGGAAAACCCUAAAUCUGAAAACCCAUUCCUCUAUCUAUUUGAGUGUUUACAUUACGACUAUCACGACGAACCCUAAAUCUGAAAACCCUUUCCUCCAUCUAUUUUAGUGCUUGCUACAAUCACGACGGUCCUUAAGUUUAUCAAAUUGUCAACAAGUAUCCAUUCCCUUGUUUUCAUUUUUGGAAAAAUUAUAGCCCGACGAGAAGGAGGUUCAACAGGCUAAGUCUGAAAUUCUUAGACCUAAAUUAAAAAUUAGGGAUCUAUUUCAAAACUUGGAUUCAUUGUAUGGUGAAGGAAAGCUUCAUGAAUCAUUGCUUGAUUCCGAGGGAGAGAUUCAUAGUGAAGAUGUUUUUUACCGAAGCAACUACUGUUGCUGGAAGUAUUUUGGAUAAUAACUUGGGACUUCUUUCAGACGAUUCUAAUGAUGAUGAUUAUAAUCCUAAUGGCCCAGAGGAUGUGGAGGUUGAAGGAGGUGAAUCAAGUUUUGACGAAUCUGAGUAUGCUUCCGUUUCUGAGAAAAUGGAGGAGGCACAUCAAGAGGAUUUAUACAUAGUUCUUCCUUUUGAAGAUUCAGAGGAUGAUGAUUAUGAUCCUGAUGUUCCAAAUCCUUGGUGGUAAAUCCAUUGAAGAAAGUUCAGGCUCUGAUUUCACAUCCGACUCUAAGGACCUUGUUGCAAUUAAGGAUAACAUGUCCGAUGAACAAUAUGGCGAUGUCACAUCUACAUCGGUAGAUAAUAUUAAGAAGAAUGGUUCUAAUAAACAAAACCGCAAGAAGCCAUCUCUAGCUGAUGAACUGUCAUUUUAGUGGAGCCAGAUCUCGGCGAAGUAGAUUUGGCUCUGGUUUCUGGCAAAAAAAUGUGGAAAGGUUGGACUACUAAAAGCUGUAUGAAGAUACAUACCACAUUGACACUAGUGAUGAUGAAGAUUGGGUUGCCACUGCUAUUCCAAGUAGAAAAAAGAAACUAACUGGUAAAAUUAUUCCAGUGGCACCAAAUGAAAGUUCCUCAAAUAAUUACAGAUGUUUUGCUAAGAGGAACACCUAUUUCGAAAGUACUCGUCCUCGCCAUACUUUUUUUUUCAUUUAUGUUCUACAGCUGAUAAAAUAAAGUUAUUAUGUGUAGGUGAUGGAGCUUCUAUUUAAUCAGUACUUGUGGCUUACAACUCACAAAUCUUUCGCUUUGAGGGUGGCGAAUUUGAGUAUAAACUCUCAAAUUUCGUCUGUCACGAAAACUUCAUUACAGAUCAGCUGCAUAAUGGUGUGAGAUGAUUAAUGUUAGAUAUGCAUGAUUACCACAGUGACAUUUGGUUAUGUUGUGGACCGUGAGCGAUACUUACAUUCAAUCAACCUGAUAUUCAUGUUAAAGAGAUAAAUGUAUUCCUGACAAAACAUCAAAUCGAGAUCACUUCAAAUGCCGAAGAAUGGUAGUGACCGGUUAACUUUCAAGAAAAUGAUAACCAUGAAUCAUAGACUAAUGGUGUUCACUUCAAAUGUAGCUAAAGAGGCUUCUGAACACGUUGCAUAUGAGUGGAACUAUGUUUUAGAAAAUAAAUGUGAGUCCCAACUAAAGAGGCUCUUGUCAAGCUUGGACGCCAAGAAGUGUUACAUCCCAUGCAGUAGUGCAUAUGUUAUUAAUAGUUAUGGUAUGUGGUUUCAAAGAUAUUGGGUGAAGAGGAGCAUGACAUGAAGUCAGAAUAAUAAUUAAAAAAAAUGAGACCGAGCUUAGUGUAUUCGAAAAAGACCCAGAUAAAAUUAGAGGAGGAAAUAGGAAAGUUCUUGUUGAGUACAUGAAACAAUCUCAUAACCUAACUCUGAAACCUUAGAUGUUGUCUCCCUUCGAGAAAUUGAUGCAAGCACCUUCAACAUGGUUCAAUUUUUCUUUACGCACAUUAGCCAUUUCUAGCUAUAAUGGCCAUGGGAUUAACAUAAUUGUCGGGGUCAGUUUAGGGCUUCCAGUCCUUGUCAUCAGUGUGGUGAGUGUCUCAUCUUACUGGCUAGGCUAGACUGCUGGACUAAUAGAUGAAACAGGAAACCUAACUGGCGGGCUGUUUCUAGAUCUAAUAGGUUUAAAACCUUAGCUACAACUAAUAAAGAACUUACUUUUACAUGUAGGAACAUCUUAUGACUGAGAACUUUACAUUUAACGUCGGCUAUGUUUAAUGAAAUAUAUAUUAUACAAUUAUGGAGGUUACAACCGUCUCUAUUUUUAAUGAAAUAUAUAUUAUACAAUUAUGGUAGUUACAA